rnacentral:tRNA from 1 species
GCAUGCAUGGCUGAGUGGACGAUCGCAAUAGACUCAUAAUCUAUUUUCCGUAAGGACAUCGUAGGUUCGAAUCCUACUGCAUGCA